AGCCCAUGAUUAGGACAUCUCCUGAAUAAGGCUUUGUAUCUCUCCCAAGCAUCAUACAAGCUCUCGCCUUCACGCUGAACGAAAUUGAAGAUCUCAUCUCGAAUUGCGGAC
rfam:Triticum aestivum genome assembly, contig: Triticum_aestivum_CS42_TGACv1_scaffold_527862_6DL